AGAACGAACGCUGGCGGCAUGCCUAAUACAUGCAAGUCGAACGAACACUUCGGUGUUAGUGGCGCACGGGUGCGUAACGCGUGGGAAUCUGCCCUUGGGUUCGGAAUAACAGUUGGAAACGACUGCUAAUACCGGAUGAUGACGAAAGUCCAAAGAUUUAUCGCCCAGGGAUGAGCCCGCGUAGGAUUAGCUAGUUGGUGAGGUAAAGGCUCACCAAGGCGACGAUCCUUAGCUGGUCUGAGAGGAUGAU
rnacentral:rRNA from 1 species